rnacentral:lncRNA from 1 species
CUUGCCAGCCUCCAAGUUGUUGAACACAAAACAGUAGACACCAAUCCUUUACUCGGAGUACCAGUUCCUGGAAUAAACAAAGAAAGUAAAAGCAUAACUAAUAUCACCAAUUGAAAGUAGGAACAGAGUCAUACCAAAGGAUGAUGCAUGAAUCGAAAUCCAUAUCAGUAGAAUACCCUUAAUCACCUGAAAAAACCCAAACCAGCGAUAAUUAAAUAACUAAAACCAAAGGAUGAUAUCCCAAAUUCAAGCACAUAAAAGUAAAUUAGAUGAAGAAAGAAAGCGGAAAUGAGAGAGUGGGAGAGUGAAUGAGCGGCUGAGGAGUUAAGGUGGGUUUGGGGAAAACAAAAUUGGGAAAUGG